rnacentral:rRNA from 1 species
UGGGGAAUCUUGGACAAUGGGCGAAAGCCUGAUCCAGCCAUGCCGCGUGAGUGAUGAAGGCCCUAGGGUCGUAAAGCUCUUUCGCCAGGGAUGAUAAUGACAGUACCUGGUAAAGAAACCCCGGCUAACUCCGUGCCAGCAGCCGCGGUAAUACGGAGGGGGUUAGCGUUGUUCGGAAUUACUGGGCGUAAAGCGCGCGUAGGCGGACUAUUAAGUCAGAGGUGAAAUCCCAGGGCUCAACCCUGGAACUGCCUUUGAUACUGGUAGUCUUGAGUUCGAGAGAGGUGAGUGGAAUUCCGAGUGUAGAGGUGAAAUUCGUAGAUAUUCGGAGGAACACCAGUGGCGAAGGCGGCUCACUGGCUCGAUACUGACGCUGAGGUGCGAAAGUGUGGGGAGCAAACAGGAUUAGAUACCCCCGUAGUCC